CGUAAAGAACUUGCCUCACAGCUAGGGACAACAUUUAGAAAUGAAUGCUAAUACCUAAUAUUAUGAUAAUAGGGCAUCCUAUAAUUAUGAAAGCUAUAUGCGCUGUGAGAGAGCUUUGCGUCCCAUUAGCUAGUUGGAGAGGUAACGGCUCACCAAGGCGAUGAUGGGUAGCCGGCCUGAGAGGGUGAUCGGCCACAAGGGGACUGAGACACGGCCCUU
rnacentral:rRNA from 1 species